UGUUUAUGAAAUUGUUAUAAUUUGGGAUUCUGUUACAGUAUUGAUUCAGGGAUCAUUUCGGAGGGGCCAUUGGCCCACAAUAUAUCGUGAAUGACCCAGAAAAAAUCCUUUUAAUUUCUAUAUAUGGCCCAUAGAUUAUAUAUUACACAUAGUUCUUUUUCUUGAAAAUGAUCCUAUAUAUUACACAUAGUUCUUUUUCUUGAAAAUGAUCCAUUCAUUUUUUAAUCAGAGAAAAUCCCUGGUAAUGAGAUUUACAGUAGAUAUGUGCUGUGCAAGACCUAUUCUGACUGGCAGGAUUUUUAGCUGGGUUUGUAAAAAUGGGCAAUUCUGCUAGUCAUUGGUAUCUCUUAAUAAAAAUACUUGUGGUAUGAUUGGUAAAACAAUAUCAUUUGUGGAAAUUGUGAAAAAAAAAAAAAAAAAAAGAGGCUUAAAUCCAGGAUUUUAUUUUUGUACUAUGUAUCUAAAAUUCCAUGUUAUUUAGGUUUUGUUGAGCUAUAUGUCACACAAUGCUUCUGACUGAACGAGACAUGUAGUAAGGGGGCCAAGAAGACAGCAUAAUGGAUAUGAAAACGAAAAACAUCUGGAACAGUUGUUCAUUCAAAAGGGAAAAUGUCAUGAAAUGCAGAAUUUGCAGAGCAUGCUUGUAAAAGGCAAAUUAACUUUGAACAUCAAUACAUAUUGUUAACAGGUUAUUCCAACUUCAAACUUAAUACUAAACUGACCAGGAAAAUUUAACGGUUACACUGACUUCAAUUGAAAAAAGUUGAGGCCUGUGAUUAGUCAAAAAAGCAAUUUUGACUAUGUCUUCCAUUUAUAGAUGUGUGCAAGAAUUUGUUAAUGGACAUAUAUAUAGUGUGUAUUGAGUUGGAAAUUGAAAUUUAAUUGAGUUGGUGAAAAUUGCUCUGAUGAUACUUCGUUCAUUAUGUCAAAAAAAGAGUUAUGCAAAGAAAAUUCCCUUUUACUGCAUCUAACAUUGACACCAACUUUUCAUAAUUAAACAAUACUUAUUUUCUCAAGUAAUUUUAUAAGUUUGUCAUUGUAGGGUGUCUUGAUAUUUGAUAGUGUUAUGUACUGGCUUAUCAAACACUUCAAAGACAAAUUGGUUUUGAAGUUACAACUUGUACAAAUUACAAGAUCCUUCAUCGUGUCAAUGUUGCAUUUCAUGUUAAAGAAAUUUUCCACCAAAACUUAGCUGAAAUAGGAAGAAAUAAAGUACAGUAGUUAAAAUUUUCAUUUUUCAUUUUGAUUGAUUAGCUGCAUUUAAAUUGCUAAUCAACUUAAAUUUCUUAAAAUUUUGUGUAUGUAAUAUUGAUACUACAGUAUGUAACAUUGAAACUAUAGUAUCAUGCAGGGUUUUCCCUGGCACCCUCAAAUAUAAUAAAUUUAGGAGUCCUGGGACUCCAAUCACAUUAAUAUGUUGUAAACUCUAUCAAUUUUUGGAGUCCUUUGGCAAUUUUAGGAGUCAAAAUGCAGGUUUUAGCGAGUCAGGGAAAACCUUGAGUAUGUAAUAUAGAUACCAUGUUACCAGAACAAUAUUCGCACACUGUGAUCACUUGAGCUCAUCAAUAAAAAAAUGUUAAAAAAGCUAGGUCUGGCAUAAAGUUAACCCUAGUCAUGCUAUGACCGACUAUAGUCGGUUCUUCGGGCUCGUGCUGAAACAGACUUUAGUCGGUCUGUGUUACGUAAUGUCGCUUCAUGUUUUGGGAUGCCGAUAAUAUCAAAAUUAAUCCGAAUUGGAAGUAAUCUUUUCAUCGACAAUUUUGUUAGAAUGUCAAUAUAAUGUGUGUAAAAUGUAAAUACCGAACUCGUCAGGGUUUUUAAGAACGGUGCCAUAGUUUCUCAACUGACGGCGAAUUUCUCGGUUGUGUAGUAUUUUUAGCUAAGGAAUCCCGCCCGGAAGCAAAGUAAUAAAACUUUGAACAAGCGCAGUGCUAUCAUGACCUCACUUCCGCGCACAUGUCGGCAAGUAUCAGAACAGGGUGCUCCUGUAUUAAUCGGUUCUCUGACGAUGUUUCGGACUUAAUCAGCGACGUUUUGUGCACGUACGUAAUAUACACAUCUAAUUUGUAACUACGAAUUACAUGUGAAUGUACAGAAUGUUUUAUAAUGCUGUAAAUCGAAUCUGUUUCGGUCUCAAUUGAUACACUAAAUGUUGUUACGUCAUCGUAAUAUGUGUACACCGGAGUUACCUGUUUUGACGAAUACAAACAAAACUGUAAAAUCGUUGGUUAUUCGGAUCAAAGAUCAAAUUAAAUGAUUGAAUUAUACAAAGUUGUUAUGUUGUUAUUUUUCAUUCAUUGUUUGGGAGUAAUUUAAUAGGCAAAUGGUGUUAAAAAUAGCAAUAAUCGUAGGAGUGAUCAGACGGCCGUUUGUUUACAAAAUAUGGCUGAAGGGGAUUCCCUACUCGCGAAUGUUUUGCCGGAAAACCGGGAUCUUUUUGAGGAAAUUUUCCAAAACGAUGAUAGCGACGAAGAGUUUGAGGGAUGGGAUAUAAAUGAUGUAGACGAAGAAGAUCAUCAGAAUGGAUUUGACGACGAAAGCUGGGUCCAAGGUGGCAUACCCCUGUCUGGUAGGACGUUCCUAGGAGAUCCUGGUGUGAGGAAUCCCCCAGAAGAAGGUGAGACAUGGGCAUACGUCGACUACGUUCAGAAGAUUUUACCUGAUGCUAUAUUGAAUAUCAUUGUCCUUGAGACGAACAGAUAUGCUGAUCAGUAUUUACAGGCACAUAUUGACCUUCCACAACACUCCAGAUUGAGAAAAUGGGUUCCCACGUCAUUGGGGGAGAUGAAAGCGUUCUUUGGCAUGCUUAUUGCAACGGGCCUUCUGAGACAGGCAGACAUUCAAGACUAUUGGUCCACCAACGAGGUGAUAAGUGUACCCUUUUUCCAUACUGUUAUGUCAAGAGACAGAUUUUUAAAUAUAAUGAGUUUUUUUCAUCUAUCCAAUAACAACACUGCUGUGCAGAGAGGCCUUGAUGGCUAUUCCCCCUUGCAGAAGCUGGACACCAUUUGUUCAACUUCUGAGGAAUUUCGAGGAGUGCUACAAUCCCACAAGGAAUGUAGCCAUAGAUGAGGGCAUGAUACCUUGGAGGGGUAAACUGAAUUUCAGAGUGUAUAGUCCAGACAAACCUGUUAAGUAUGGGUUGAAGUUGUAUAUGUUGUGUGACUCUGCCAACGGAUACUGCAGUCGUCUGGAGCUAUACACAGGCCGUGAGGGUACCCAGCCUGACAGCAGCGGACAUGGCACAACGUAUGACAUUGUCAUGCGUUUACUUCAGCCGUACCUCAACAAAGGUUAUCACCUAUAUACAGAUAAUUACUACAGCAGCCCACAACUGUAUUAUGACCUUUUUAUGAAUGCAACACUGGCCUGUGGCACAUUGCGAUCAAAUAGGAGAGGAGUUCCCAUGGCACUGAAGAAUGCACACCCUGCGAAGGGAGAAAUAUCAGUUUUUAAUAAUGGGACUUUGGUUGCAUUGAAGUACUCAGACAAGAAAGAAGUUUCCCUUCUGACGACAAUUCAUGAAGGUAUGCAAACAUACUUAACACUGUUAAUCACAUAAGUUUACAGCUGGUAUGCAAUUUUGAAAUGCCUGACCCUCUUUAGGCCUACAUUUCACAUUUAAUGUUUCAACUGAUACCAAUUUCAAUAUUAUACCUAUACCUUAUAUCGUACUGUACAUGUGCUAUUUAAAAUAACAAGUGUGUUUUAUUUAAUGAUAUUAAACCUCCUGGUGAUAUAUAUAUAUAUUACAUGUAAUCUGGGAUAUAUGGCAAAUUUAAUUAACCUGUCAAAAGUUAUUUGUCUGAUUUAAUCUGUGUUUGUUGACAAUGCAAUGAUUAGGUUUAUUAUUUUCUGCUUUGAUCGAGUAUUGUAAGGACAUCUAUAAAUUAAAUUAUUUCAGGUGUGAUGACAGAUACUGGGAAGCGCGACAAGGAUGGGAACCGAAUCCUCAGACCUGACUGUGUGCUUAGCUACAACAAGUACAUGGGAGCAGUUGAUAGAUGUGACCAAAUGGUUUCGUACAGCGGCUUUGACCGACGCACACUGAAGUGGUGGAAGAAGGUGUUCUUUCAUGUCCUGGGAAUUGCGGUAUUGAACGCCUAUGUUAUCUACAAAGAAACCACUCGGCGUCCAGUUCUUCACAGGGUAUUUAGAAGGGAAGUUGUCCGUCAGCUGGUCAUGGAGUCUGAUGUCACUGGGCCGGAAUCAAGAGGCAGGAAGAGGACAGCAGGAGACAACCUCCAAUGAUUAUCAGCUAGGCAUUUUCUCGGUCGUCUUCCUCCAACAGUUACCAAGACAGCAGCGAGAAGGCGAUGUGUCGUCUGUGGGCCAGGAGAGGCCGAGGUUUAUAGGGCACAGCAACCAGGACUUGAGACACCAAGACGACUCGGCAGGGAAACAACAUUCCAAUGUAAACAGUGUUGUGUGGCCUUAUGUGUGGAGCCUUGUUUUGAACUUUACCACACUAAGGCCGAGUUUGUAUUGGCAUAUAAAAGACUUAAACUUGCCACUCAACCUGGACAAGAAGAGUAGAUGGGUCAUCAGAUUUCCAAUCAAUGUACUUUGAUAAAUAAUUGAUGUAUAUGCGAUAUGUAUCAUUACGCUAGAUUAUAUGCUUUAGUGUAAGCCAUUUCUGAUGUGUUUAUAACCAAUGAUCCAGUAUUCAGAUAAUACACAAAUUAUAGACCUGUUGUACAUUUAUAUUUGCAUUGUAAUACAGCAAAUAUGUUCAAUAUAAGUUUUUUUUUUCAUUUCCUUUUCAUAUAUCUUUUAACAAUGAUAUUGUAAACUAAACACAUCAGAGUAUAUAUUUCAAAAAAUGGUUAUCUCCCUUGAAUUACCUAACAUUGUAUACUUGGUGAGAGUUGGGGUUUUAUUUCAGCUAUUUUUUCACUUACAUGUGUAUGUGAGCAUACAUGCAUAGGAAUGUUCAAUUAAUUGUGGAAAGGUCAACAAUAAAUUGUGCUCUUU